rnacentral:rRNA from 1 species
AACCAGGAUUCCCUCAGUAGCUGCGAGCGAACAGGGAAGAGCCCAGCACCGAAUCCCGCGGGCCUCGCCCGUAGGGAAAUGUGGUGUUAGGGAGGGCCCGUUUUAUCCCGGGUCGGUGGAGGCGCUGUCCAAGUCCMACUUGAAUGCGGCCGCAGCCCAUAGAGGGUGCCAGGCCCGUAGCGACCGCCGCGCCGGCCGGGAGGGUCUCUCCCCAGAGUCGGGUUGCUUGAGAGUGCAACCUCAAGUGGGUGGUAAACUCCAUCUAAGGCUAAAUACGACCACGAGACCGAUAGCGAACAAGUACCGUGAGGGAAAGUUGAAAAGAAUUCUGAAGAGAGAGUUCAAGAGCACGUGAAACCGUUCAGGGGUAAACGGGAGAAAUCCUGAAUUCGAAGGGAGAACAUACACAGGAAUCAAACGCCUUCCCGUUCACCCAGGCCGCACCCCGCACUUGGCGUGGACGCCCGCAGCGAUUCAUUUCGCUGCGUGCUGUCGUCCCGUCUCGGCUGGGUCAGUCGGCUCUGGGCGCGGGAGGAGUGCAAUUCCCCCCUUGGUAGAAGCGCCGCGACCCGUUGGGUGCCGGUCGCAGGGCCCGGAGAGGCAGCCCGUCGGAUCCACCCCUAUUUGGUUUAGGUGGUGGCCGCGGACCUCCGGUGACCCGGCCGGCCGCCCGACGGUACGGACGAAGGGAGCCUUUCCGCUCGCUCUGUGAGCGUCCGGCCCGGCGCCGGCGCGCGGGUGGAAAAAUCGGGGUAUGGUGCCCAGAAUGGGGCCCCGGCCACCUGUCGCGUCCGGCCCGCCCGGUGUCCUCGGACCGGAUCGGCGCUCCCGUCGGCGACGCCAUCCUUCGGAUUGUCUCCCGACCCGUCUUGAAACACGGACCAAGGAGUCUAACAUGUGCGCGAGUCAAUGGGUCGACUCUAAACCUAUGGGCGCAAUGAAAGUGAAGGCCGUCCUUUGGAUCGACGGCCGAGGGAAGAUGGCCCCGACCCCCUCGGGGGCAGGCCCGCAUUCCCGGGGCGUCUCGUCCUCACUGCGAGGUGAGGCGCACCCAGAGCGCACUCGUUGGGACCCGAAAGAUGGUGAACUAUGCCCGGCCAGGACGAAGUCAGGGGAAACCCUGAUGGAGGUCCGUAGCGAUUCUGACGUGCAAAUCGAUCGUCGGAGCUGGGUGUAGGGGCGAAAGACCAAUCGAACCAUCUAGUAGCUGGUUCCCUCCGAAGUUUCCCUCAGGAUAGCUGGCACUCGGAGGAAAAAAAGUCUCAUACGGUAAAGCGAAUGAUUAGAGGCCUUGGGGCCGAAACGACCUCAACCUAUUCUCAAACUUUAAAUGGGUGAGAUCAACGGCUUGCCUAGGCGAAGCCGGAGACGGAUGGUGAGUGCCAAGUGGGCCACUUUUGGUAAGCAGAACUGGCGCUGUGGGAUGAACCAAACGCCGAGUUAAGGCGCCUGAAUCGACGCCCAUGGGGAGACCAUGAAAGGUGUGGGUCGCUUAAGACAGCAGGGCGGUGGCCAUGGAAGUCGGAAUCCGCUAAGGAGUGUGUAACAACUCACCUGCCGAAGCGACUGGCCCCGAAAAUGGAUGGCGCCGAAGCGUCGUGCCCAUACUCGGCCGUCGGCGGCAAUGGGAGGCUCGUCCGGCGUUUUUAACGCCGGCGACCUCGAGGAGGCCCCGACGAGUAGGAGGGUCGCGGCGGUGAGCGCGGAAGGGCAGUGGCGCAAGCCUGCCUGGAGCCACCGUCGGUGCAGAUCUUGGUGGUAGUAGCAAAUACUCCUUUUUGGAGGUCCUUGAGGACCGAUGUGGAGAAGGGUUUCGUGUCAACAGCCGUUGCACACGAGUCAGUCGAUCCUAAGCCCUAUGUGAAGACUGAGGCCGAUGGGGGGUCAGAGCAGAUGACCGUAACCCCCGGCGGGCGAAAGGGAAUCCGGUUAAUAUUCCGGAACCCGGCAGCGGCACCGUUCCGCCUCUGGCCCUGUUAGUCGGGGUGACCCGAAAAGGAACCCGGAGAAGCCGUCGGGAGAUCUGGGCAGAGUUUUCUUUUCUGUUUGAGCGUUCCGUUUCCCUGGAAACCUCCAGCAGGGAGAUAGGGGAUGGGACGCGAAAAGCACCGCAGUUGGGGCGGUGUCCAGAUCCUCCUCUCGGACCUUGAAAAUCCGGGAGAGGGCAGAGCGGGACGUCCGUGCCGGUUCGUACCCAUAUCCGCAGCUGGUCCCC